rnacentral:misc_RNA from 1 species
GGGAGUAAAAGUCGUAACAAGGUUUCCGUAGGUGAACCUGCGGAAGGAUCAUUCAUAAUAAGUGUUUUAUGGCACUUUUUUAAAUCCAUAUCCACCUUGUGUGCAACGUCAGGGUUGAUUUUUCUCUCGAGAGGAUCAACCCCAAACAUCAACUAUAUCUCAACUCUUUGUCUGAAAAAUAUUAUGAAUAAAACAAUUCAAAAUACAACUUUCAACAACGGAUCUCUUGGCUCUC